rfam:Aedes aegypti strain Liverpool supercont1.314 genomic scaffold, whole genome shotgun sequence.
CCAUCGGCCCUUUUCAAGGCCAUCAAAUUAGUAGAAAAGAGUAAAA